GUGCUUGCUUUGGCAGCACAUACACUAAAAUUGGAACAAUCCAGAGAAGAUUUGCGUGGCCCCUGCACAAGGAUGACAUGCAGAUUUGUGAAGCGGUCCAUAUUUUU